rnacentral:rRNA from 1 species
GACGAACGCUGGCGGCGUGCUUAACACAUGCAAGUCGAACGGAAAGGCCUUUUCGGAGGUACUCGAGUGGCGAACGGGUGAGUAACACGUGGGUGAUCUGCCCUGCACUCUGGGAUAAGCCUGGGAAACUGGGUCUAAUACCGGAUAGGACCGCACUUUAGUGUGUGUGGUGGAAAGUUUUUUCGGUGUAGGAUGAGCCCGCGGCCUAUCAGCUUGUUGGUGGGGUAAUGGCCUACCAAGGCGGCGACGGGUAGCCGGACUGAGAGGUUGGUCGGCCACAUUGGGACUGAGAUAGGGCCCGGACUCCUACGGGAGGAAGCGGUGGGGAUUAUUGAACAAUGGGCGCAAGCCUGUUGAAGCGAGGCGGCGUGGGGAUGACGGCCUUCGGGUUGUAAACUCCUUUCGCCAGGGACGAAGCGUUUUGUGACGGUACCUGGAGAAGAAGCACCGGCUAACUACGUG